UCUAAGCUUUGGGCAGGUAUGAGUUUUAAUGGUGAAAGUUUGAAAUUCUGAGCGAGAGGACACAAGGAGACAGGUGGUGAUGAGGCUGCGAGUGACGUCCCCUUGGCGUUGCUAGGCACCCCUCCCAGCUGCCGGCAUGGAAAGGUCCAGAUUUUGACGGUCAACCUAUGUCAAGAUUUUUACAGCUUCUUUCUCACAGGCUGGGCCAGAUGCCAGUGUCACACUUUGGUGUUUGUUAUGUGGAAAGUACUAAUUUAGUCUGAGGCAACAACACAGGUGGUGGGAUUCUUUUGCACUGUGAGUUGAGAUGUACAUACCAGCUUUCCAAAACAUUUGACCUGGUUGAGAUAUUUUGAACGGUAUGUGCACUACAGAGCUUUGAACUUCGUGCUUGAGGACGGACAAACAGACACAUUUCCAAGAUAGGGGUACCCCAAGUCAAAUCCCUCCUACUCAAAAGUUUUUGCAUGUAUCAAGCUGUAACUUUAUGUGUGAGGUUUAGAGGUAGUAAGCAUUAUGUGGUGCAAAAAUUAUUGAUUUUGAAAAAAGUUGGCUGGUGUGAUAGGACACAGACCCCCAUUACAACUUCCGUUUUUCGGUAGGGAC